AGUUACUUGCAGCCUUCUGGAGUGCCAUGAUGUUACUCUGUAUGGGCAGACACCUGAAGCCUUCUGAAGAGCACUGACAGACAUGCUGAACCCAAGCCUUGCUGUCACACCCAAGUUCCUGUGCUGGCAUCGCUGGAGGGAUAUGGGAGGUGUCUGAAGACCAGAACUCUGCACCUUGUCCUCUUAUAGGGUUAGUUCUCAGGUACACUAAUUCCCCUGUACCUCUCCCAGAGGGGUCUGUGGUCUGCAGUUGAUUUAAGGGUGGGAAAUUGUUGCAGCCUGUUGCCAAUUUGGUCAAGGAAUUUAUGAAUCUAGAGUCCCUAAACAGUUGCAAAAUUUUAGAAAUUACAGAUGGAAAGGGACUGUGAAGGCUCAUUUGAACACAUGUGCCAAAGCAGGAUUGUUUUGUGAAGUUAAUCCUCCAGAGUUUUGUCCAGACAGAUUUUGAAAAGCUGUUAUAUGAUAUUCACAGUCAGUGCUAGGGAAUGUUGUGCUCUGUGACACUUCAGUGUAUGCUGCUUCAAACCUGUGAAAAAGCAUGUAUUCACAUCACACAUGUAUGUAGCAUAUGGAUGUGUCAUUUUCCAUGGCUUUUCAGAAAAAAUAACUGCUUUCCAGUACUGAACAACUGCUCUCACAGCCACUACUGGUGCUUGGAAUUUAAAUGAUAUUUGGAAAUGAGGGCUUUGGAGUCUAUGAACACUAAAAUGAUAUUUUUCCUAGAGUAUUUAAAAGUCUCUAUUUCAGAAUUUGAACUUGUUAGCAUCUCACCUGUUUUUCUUUGCAAUCUAUUGUAAACUUAUGAACUAGGAACUCAUAGAAGAUAUGUGUGGAUGGGGGAGAGAGCUCUGGUUAUCUUUUGCAGCCUUUGCCUGGGUGGUGGAAGUGCCUGUGGUACAAGAGAAGUGGAUGUUUUAUGAAAGCUGCUUCUUUGGAGUACGAAUAAAAUUUCAGAGGAAUUGCACCUGUAA